GACGAACGCUGGCGGCGUGCUUAACACAUGCAAGUCGAACGGAGAGGCCCUGCUUUUGUGGGGUGCUCGAGUGGCGAACGGGUGAGUAACACGUGAGUAACCUGCCCUUGACUUUGGGAUAACUUCAGGAAACUGGGGCUAAUACCGGAUAGGAGCUCCUGCUGCAUGGUGGGGGUUGGAAAGUUUCGGCGGUUGGGGAUGGACUCGCGGCUUAUCAGCUUGUUGGUGGGGUAGUGGCUUACCAAGGCUUUGACGGGUAGCUGGCCUGAGAGGGUGACCGGCCACAUUGGGACUGAGAUACGGCCCAGACUCCUACGGGAGGCAGCAGUGGGGAAUAUUGCACAAUGGGCGGAAGCCUGAUGCAGCAACGCCGCGUGCGGGAUGACGGCCUUCGGGUUGUAAACCGCUUUCGCCUGUGACGAAGCGUGAGUGACGGUAAUGGGUAAAGAAGCACCGGCUAACUACGUG
rnacentral:rRNA from 1 species